GGAAAAUUUGAAACUGCCUAAUUCGGUCUAAUUACACUGUUGAUGAAAUCAAGACUUUCCCAAAGAUCUUCGUGUGCCUUAUUUUUAUUUUGCCUCCCACAUUUACUUAGGAAUUGUGUGGAACACUUGGUAUGAUGGAGAGAUGGCUUAUACAGUGAGGAGUUCAAACACAGUCCAUGGUGACCAGGAACGUGCUGAACUGGACAGAGACGAUAUGAUAAUUGGGGCUUCCAGUGUUUUCUGAAGGCACAGG
rnacentral:lncRNA from 1 species